rnacentral:rRNA from 1 species
GAGUUUGAUCUUGGCUCAGGACGAACGCUGGCGGCGUGCUUAACACAUGCAAGUCGAACGGAAAGGCCCUGCUUGCAGGGUACUCGAGUGGCGAACGGGUGAGUAACACGUGGGUGAUCUGCCCUGCACUUCGGGAUAAGCUUGGGAAACUGGGUCUAAUACCGGAUAGGAGCCAUCUUUAGUGUGGUGGUUGGAAAGUUUUUUCGUGUAGGAGUGAGCUCGCGGCCGUAC